rnacentral:rRNA from 1 species
UUAAGCGACUAAGCGUACACGGUGGAUGCCCUGGCAGUCAGAGGCGAUGAAGGACGUGCUAAUCUGCGAAAAGCGUCGGUAAGGUGAUAUGAACCGUUAUAGCCGGCGAUGUCCGAAUGGGGAAACCCAGUGCAAUUCGUUGCACUAUCGUUAACUGAAUACAUAGGUUAACGAGGCGAACCGGGGGAACUGAAACAUCUAAGUACCCCGAGGAAAAGAAAUCAACCGAGAUUCCCCCAGUAGCGGCGAGCGAACGGGGAGCAGCCCAGAGUCUGAAUCAGCUUGUGUGUUAGUGGAACGGUCUGGAAAGUCCGACGGUACAGGGUGAUAGUCCCGUACACCAAAAUGCACAGGUUGUGAACUCGAAGAGUAGGGCGGGACACGUGGUAUCCUGUCUGAAUAUGGGGGGACCAUCCUCCAAGGCUAAAUACUCCUGACUGACCGAUAGUGAACCAGUACCGUGAGGGAAAGGCGAAAAGAACCCCGGCGAGGGGAGUGAAAAAGAACCUGAAACCGUGUACGUACAAGCAGUGGGAGCACCUUCGGGUGUGACUGCGUACCUUUUGUAUAAUGGGUCAGCGACUUAUAUUCUGUAGCAAGGUUAACCGUAUAGGGGAGCCGCAGGGAAACCGAGUCUUAACUGGGCGUUAAGUUGCAGGGUAUAGACCCGAAACCCGGUGAUCUAGCCAUGGGCAGGUUGAAGGUUGGGUAACACUAACUGGAGGACCGAACCGACUAAUGUUGAAAAAUUAGCGGAUGACUUGUGGCUGGGGGUGAAAGGCCAAUCAAACCGGGAGAUAGCUGGUUCUCCCCGAAAGCUAUUUAGGUAGCGCCUCGUGAACUCAUCUUCGGGGGUAGAGCACUGUUUCGGCUAGGGGGUCAUCCCGACUUACCAACCCGAUGCAAACUACGAAUACCGAAGAAUGUUAUCACGGGAGACACACGGCGGGUGCUAACGUCCGUCGUGAAGAGGGAAACAACCCAGACCGCCAGCUAAGGUCCCAAAGUCAUGGUUAAGUGGGAAACGAUGUGGGAAGGCACAGACAGCCAGGAUGUUGGCUUAGAAGCAGCCAUCAUUUAAAGAAAGCGUAAUAGCUCACUGGUCGAGUCGGCCUGCGCGGAAGAUGUAACGGGGCUAAACCAUGCACCGAAGCUGCGGCAGCGACACUAUGUGUUGUUGGGUAGGGGAGCGUUCUGUAAGCCUGCGAAGGUGUGCUGUGAGGCAUGCUGGAGGUAUCAGAAGUGCGAAUGCUGACAUAAGUAACGAUAAAGCGGGUGAAAAGCCCGCUCGCCGGAAGACCAAGGGUUCCUGUCCAACGUUAAUCGGGGCAGGGUGAGUCGACCCCUAAGGCGAGGCCGAAAGGCGUAGUCGAUGGGAAACAGGUUAAUAUUCCUGUACUUGGUGUUACUGCGAAGGGGGGACGGAGAAGGCUAUGUUAGCCGGGCGACGGUUGUCCCGGUUUAAGCAUGUAGGCUGGUUGUCCAGGCAAAUCCGGAUAAUCAAGGCUGAGGUGUGAUGACGAGGCACUACGGUGCUGAAGUAACAAAUGCCCUGCUUCCAGGAAAAGCCUCUAAGCAUCAGGUAACAUCAAAUCGUACCCCAAACCGACACAGGUGGUCAGGUAGAGAAUACCAAGGCGCUUGAGAGAACUCGGGUGAAGGAACUAGGCAAAAUGGUGCCGUAACUUCGGGAGAAGGCACGCUGGUGUGUAGGUGAAGCCCCUGCGGGUGGAGCUGAGACCAGUCGAAGAUACCAGCUGGCUGCAACUGUUUAUUAAAAACACAGCACUGUGCAAACACGAAAGUGGACGUAUACGGUGUGACGCCUGCCCGGUGCCGGAAGGUUAAUUGAUGGGGUUAUCCGUAAGGAGAAGCUCUUGAUCGAAGCCCCGGUAAACGGCGGCCGUAACUAUAACGGUCCUAAGGUAGCGAAAUUCCUUGUCGGGUAAGUUCCGACCUGCACGAAUGGCGUAAUGAUGGCCAGGCUGUCUCCACCCGAGACUCAGUGAAAUUGAACUCGCUGUGAAGAUGCAGUGUACCCGCGGCAAGACGGAAAGACCCCGUGAACCUUUACUAUAGCUUGACACUGAACAUUGAGCCUUGAUGUGUAGGAUAGGUGGGAGGCUUUGAAGCGUGGACGCCAGUCUGCGUGGAGCCAACCUUGAAAUACCACCCUUUAAUGUUUGAUGUUCUAACGUUGGCCCCUUACCGGGGUUGCGGACAGUGUCUGGUGGGUAGUUUGACUGGGGCGGUCUCCUCCCAAAGCGUAACGGAGGAGCACGAAGGUUAGCUAAUCCUGGUCGGACAUCAGGAGGUUAGUGCAAUGGCAUAAGCUAGCUUGACUGCGAGCGUGACGGCGCGAGCAGGUGCGAAAGCAGGUCAUAGUGAUCCGGUGGUUCUGAAUGGAAGGGCCAUCGCUCAACGGAUAAAAGGUACUCCGGGGAUAACAGGCUGAUACCGCCCAAGAGUUCAUAUCGACGGCGGUGUUUGGCACCUCGAUGUCGGCUCAUCACAUCCUGGGGCUGAAGUAGGUCCCAAGGGUAUGGCUGUUCGCCAUUUAAAGUGGUACGCGAGCUGGGUUUAGAACGUCGUGAGACAGUUCGGUCCCUAUCUGCCGUGGGCGCUGGAGAAUUGAGGGGGGCUGCUCCUAGUACGAGAGGACCGGAGUGGACGCAUCACUGGUGUUCGGGUUGUCAUGCCAAUGGCACUGCCCGGUAGCUAAAUGCGGAAGAGAUAAGUGCUGAAAGCAUCUAAGCACGAAACUUGCCCCGAGAUGAGUUCUCCCUGAGACUUUAAGUCUCCUGAAGGAACGUUGAAGACGACGACGUUGAUAGGCCGGGUGUGUAAGCGCAGCGAUGCGUUGAGCUAACCGGUACUAAUGAACCGUGAGGCUUAACCUU